ACCCCACUUACUUCCCUUUGGACCCUAGAACCAAAUGCACAACUCAACUGAAAGAGAGAAUACAUCUGUGGCCUUGGCCUGUCCUGAACAUGAAGUCAAACCAAACAAGAAAAACAAACAAACAAACAACAAAAAAAAACUGGACUUGGUGGCACUCACGUUUAAUCCCAGAACUUGGGAGGAAGAGGCAAACAGAUCUCGACGAGAGUUUGAGGAUAGCCUGGUCUACAUGACAAGUUCUAGGCCAGCCAAGGCUAUAUGGGGACACUC
rnacentral:lncRNA from 1 species